GGCAGACCGGUAAGCAGACAGGUAAUGAACAGACAAAAGGCAGAUAAGUUACCGGCUGGCAGAGGUGAAAGCAGGGGAGUGAGUCCAAGGUGGAAAACAGUUCAGGGAGAAGGCAAAAUCCAAAAAUCCAAAAUCCAACCAAGGUCCACGGGAGAAUAAAGAAUCCAACACAAACUCACGGUAACAAUGCUCGGCAGGAACAACACCAUGUGUACAACGAUGAUCCAACACUGAACAAACAAGAGACCCAGACUAAAUACCCUCGGGGAGGUGAGACAACGAUACUCAGGUGCAAACAAUCAAGGAAAGACCAACAAUCAAAACUGGAGGGAAAACAAAGACAGGAAGUAAAAACACAAGACACACAAGGAAAGGAGAAUACUACAAAAUAAACCAGGAAGAGACAACACCUAAACUACCACAGGACCGGAGUGCAGGAGACGUUGCAGCGACAGCAGAGAUCCUGAAGACUCAACCAUUCCCUCUGCCUCAAACCAUUCCCUCUGCUCUGAUGGCACAUCGUUGGUGAGCUGUAUUUGUAAUAUUUGUGUUAUUAUUGUUUCACGUCCUCUAAUAUGACUUCUGACUCUGUUAAACUUAUCUUUUUGUCGGACAGCUGAAGCUCUGCAGUGUCAAAGUCUUCUCUUUACUCUUUGGUUUUACAUGUUUGCAAAUGAAACUUGCCCACAAACGGAGUGGGCAGCCUUAUAUGGUACUUUAGGGGCGUAGAUUAUGCUAGUGAACAGGUGAACAGGUGGUGGUCAUCAGGCUGAAACGAUCGAUUUACAACAAGUGUGUGCAGUUCAGAGAGUUUGGUGAACCUGACUUGAAACACCAGAAAACACUCAAAAAAACCUCAGAGAGGUUUAGGAGGAUAUGAAGAUGAUCUUGCAUGAGGGCAAAUGUUACGUGUAUUUCCUUUUUAUGUAUACAUUUACUGAGUCAUAAUUCAAUUUACAACAUUUGUUGAAAGAACAAUUAUUUGGAUUUUUGACUUUAAUAACUGCAUGAACUUCAUGCCACAUUAAAAUCAAAUCACAACACAGACAACGAAGUGAAGAGGUGUGUGGUGUUUCAGGGUCAUCCAGCAGAGGGCAGCACACACCUGCCAAUACUACUGCCAAUGCAAGUACAAAGUCCAAUAUUUCCCUCUGAGAUGUGGUGCAGUAGAAGUAUAAAGUAGCAUAAAAUGGAAAUACUCACCGUCACAUGUACAUUUAAAGAGUAUUGUCUGAUGUUUAGUGUAUAUAAUAACCCGACUGAAGUCUGGUUUACUUCCUGGUGCGCAGAGAGGAGGACUGAUCUCUGUUCACCUGUUCAUCAUCACUCCCUCACUGACCUCAGAUCUGUUUCACUGCUGCAGAAAACAUGCACAACUUUAUUUCAUUCAUGCAGAGAAAUGUGUGAGCUGCACUCCUGUUAGUGUGUGACAGAAAUGAUUGUUCAAACAAUAAAUGCUGUGGAAGAUGUAAAAUAUGUGUUUCUAAUCAGAAUAAAGUAUAAAGUUGUGCUGCAACAGAAGAAAACUGACUGAUUGUUGAAGUUUGUUCAGAGGAGCUCAAACACUGCGAUGACAGCGACCUUGCAGCUCUGGUACUGUUACGUUCUUUUAUACUUCAUUUAACUGAAGGUCGUCAGCAUGAAGAGUCGUGCAGUGCAGUAGUUCUCCAGGACCAACGUUCAGCAGAAUAUCAGCUCUCGUGAUUUCUUUCUCUCACUAAGCAUCUCACAACGGGCCUUUUAACAGUAAACGCAGCCGGCAGAGGAAACCACAACUCUUUCUGCAGAAAGUCGCUUUAAUUCAGAGGCAGGCGGACCAUCAAGUAUUUAUGUAAAGGUGGUGUUACGGCUGUAUGUCAGUUUCAAGAGUUUUAUUGACUGAUACGCACUGUGAUCUUAGUGUUUAACUUUCAUUAAACCCCCUGAAGUAGUUCCUGCUCCUCUUCAGACAGACUGACUCAUUUCUUGCCUCUACAGCUUGAUUCCCAGCAACUUUCUGUGAGAUGACAAUACUUGUGUUUGGUGGUAAAUACUUGUGUGUGCAGUAACUCCACAUCUGUUGGGUCACUUGUUUGCUGCUGAGGUGUAAGUUGGAAACAUUGUUUGUGGUCGUUGAGUCCAGUGUGACCACUGUGUGUUGUGGUUGUUGCAGUCCACGUUUUGGUGUGGUCACUUGUGUGUUACUGCUGUUGUGUAUUUCAUUGUAGCAAAUUAGUUGUGUUAUCUUGUUUUGGGUUUGGGGUGUAGUCACUCCACAGAUCAUUAUUAUUAUUAUAACUUUAUUUAUAUAGCACUUUUCAAGCUUAAGCAAAGAAAAAAUUAGGAAUAUGAGAGCGCAUAUGUCAGCAGCACUGACCCCGUACAUAAACAGAUGGAAGUGCAAAAUAAAAGAUAUCAGUUCAUGGAUGAAUAAGGAAAAUGGAUAAAAGAAAUAAUAUAAGGCAGGUGAAAUUUAAGUAGAGGAAACAACCACAUAUUAGAUAUAAACAAAUAAGAUGCAAAUAUACGAGAUGAUCUCACAUAAAGCAGAUAGAAAACCAAUAAAAGAACAAACUCUUGAAUAUAAAACAGAUAAAAGUGCAAAAUAAAUGGAAGUGCAUAUAAAAUACUAAAAUGAUGAUACUAAAACAGACACAAUUAAAAUAUGUAAUAACAAUAGAGUUAAAAAUAUAACACCCUAAAAUAAUAUAAAGAGGAAAUAUGAAAGUGAUGCGAUAAAUGGAACUGGACUAAUAGGUUAGCGAGGUACGUUGAGUCUAAAGCCAGAGUUUUCAGUGUCACGAAGGUGGCUCUCUUUUGACCUGGCUAGAUCACCAUGGUAACUUAUGCUACCUGCUCUAGAGGAGGUUAUGUUCAGAGUUUUGGAUUAAAAGCGGCUAUAAAAAGCGCCGUCCUUUCACUAAUCAACUCCUUUGGAAAUGGCAUCACCAUUCUUGCAAAAUCCCGUGGACCUAUAGGUGCCAGAACUGUACGAGGUUCACUUCGGAGGGAGAGUGUUUAGAGACCGCAGUGAUCCGUUUGCUUUUCUGGAUGAUUUAUAGAAGUUGGUAAUGCCACCGAACAAAGCCGUGCAGUAACAGUAGUGAACACUGUGCAUUGUGUUGUGGGGUUUUUUUGACACAGGAACCAACAUGCAUUCAGUUGGUGAUGCAGAAAAUCUGAGCAAGAAUAUUGUAUGCUAAUACGCUAUUCACAAGGCUGAUCUUGCUCUCCCUGAACUACUGAAUGUAGUGUUGUAGUGUUUCCUGGCCAUUUGCCAACGCCGGGAUCAUAGGUCCAUGGAUUGGACCCACAUACCCAUCACUGGAGCCUGAGGGGAACAAGGGCGAUUUUGUGAAUAGAAAGUCCUUCACAACAUCAAUGUUCAGUCAUCAUGUACUACAGGACCAUUGGCAAGAAGAAACGAUGCGUAACAGGAAGAUGGGAGAGAAGAAAUAAGAAUCACACAACAAACCUGCCAAAAUCAACACAGCUGAAUAUUAUUUUUAAGCCUUAUAUUGACACUGAUAUGCACUGUGGUCUUAUCAGUGUUUAACUUUCAGUCCAACCCAUGAAGUUGCUCCUGCUCCUCCUCAGUGACUCAUUCCUUCUGUAACACUCAACUUGUUUUGUUUUUUGCAGUAUGUGAUGAUUGUGAAUUGAAUAAAAACUUUAAAGCA